rnacentral:rRNA from 1 species
UGAACGCUAGCGACAGGCCUAACACAUGCAAGUCGAGGGGCAGCACAAGGAGCAAUCUGAGGUGGCGACCGGCGCACGGGUGAGUAACACGUAUGCAACCUGCCUGUAAGCGGGGAAUAACCCGUUGAAAGACGGACUAAUACCGCAUAAUACUAAAUUACUGCAUGGUAAUUUAUUUAAACAUUUAUGGCUUACAGAUGGGCAUGCGCAUGAUUAGCUAGUUGGAGAGGUAACGGCUCUCCAAGGCAACGAUCAUUAGGGGUUCUGAGAGGAAGGUCCCCCACACUGGUACUGAGACACGGACCAGACUCCUACGGGGGCAGCAGUGAGGAAUAUUGGUCAAUGGACGAGAGUCUGAACCAGCCAAGUCGCGUGCAGGAAGAAUGUCCUUAAUGGAUUGUAAACUGCUUUUGCAGGGGAAUAAAGUGCAUCACGUGUGAUGUUUUGUAUGUACUCUGCGAAUAAGGAUCGGCUAACUCCGUGCCAGCAGCGGC